GCGCGAAAACUUUACAAUGCUGGCAACAGCGAUAAGGGAACCUCGAGUGCCAGGUUACAAAUCUGGCUGUCGAGAUGCCUAAAAAGCAUUUCAUAGCAAGGGCCGGGCAAGACCGGUGCCAGCCGCCGCGGUAACACCGGCGGCUCGAGUGGUAACCGUUAUUAUUGGGUCUAAAGGGUCUGUAGCCGGCCGGAUAAGUCUCUUGAGAAAUCUGGCAGCUUAACUGUCAGGCUUUCAGGAGAUACUGUCUGGCUCGAGGCCGGGAGAGGUGAGAGGUACUUCAGGGGUAGGGGUGAAAUCUUGUAAUCCUUGAAGGACCACCAGUGGCAAAGGCGUCUCACCAGAACGGACCUGACGGCAAGGGACGAAAGCUAGGG
rnacentral:rRNA from 1 species